rnacentral:lncRNA from 1 species
GUUUUCAGACAUUUGCUUGGACUUUAGUAGUUGAGAUGUUUCUGUUCACUUCCAAACUCAUACAUUAUGAGGAAGAAUAGAUCAAUCAUUAUAAAAUACACGGAUAAGUGGAAUGAAGCAGUGGACGAGAGGAACAAACUUCUCCCGACUGUGUUCUUGGAUAAGAAUGAUUUCAACAUUGAUACUAUUCAACUGGACUACAGUCCCAGUAAGACUGAAACCCCCAUCUACAAUGUCUAUUUCUACAGUAAGAGAAACCCCACCGAUGUCAUCGAUAUUAAGAACUAUGAGGUACUUGUAGCACUUUGCUGCUUUAGUAUUUAAAAAAAAAAAGUCAACAAAUCGUCCAUUUACUGGUAUGUUAUCUUGUUACUGGGACAAAAUGGUAUUCAGUGAUCUGGGCAAGUCAAAGCAAGUUUCCUAGAUCUAUAAUUAGUGAUCAGCAUGUUUGUUUUUUACGUGUAUUGCAGAUAUCCAGUCUGCUGCCAGAGAAGUACACUGAAUAUGUUGGUCGGGUUUACUACACAAAAAAAUCUGACGAGGAGGAGAGGGACGCUAAGGAGUGCUUCAGAUGGUGGCGUCUCCGUGAGGACAGGGUGAGUGUUUAUGGCUUAUUUGUCAUUCCUGCAGAACUGACACACAUCACACUCUACAGUGACAUUGUUCAUAAACCAAGUGUUCAUAAACCAAGGCUCUAUUUGCUUGUCUCAUAUAAAUCAAUGUUCUCUGUCCUUCUAGAAGUGUAUGAUUCUGGUCUUCGAUCAGAAAGAGUUUAGAGGAAAUUGGCGCUUGAUCACGGGUGACUGUCCAUCAUUUGACCGCUGCAGUAUAACAGAGAUCCGCUCCUGUAUGGUGCUCAGUGGUAAGUGGGAUCUCUAUGAGGGUCCUGGCUACACUGAACCCCGUUACCAACUGCAGAGGGGGGUUUAUCGAAACCCUGAGGCUUGGCGUGCCAGUGGCAACACUGCUCCUGCUCUGUCUGUUAAACGUAGGACAGAGUAAAUUCUAUAACUCCAUCCAUCUGUUGCCCUCAUUCAUCUUUAAAAUAGGGCUGUCAAUUUAAAGCAUUCAUUUAAUGUUUCAUUAUAAUUUCUAGACAAAAAUAGUCUAAUCAGUGAUUUACACUGCUGUCAUAAUCAUGUAAUAUCUUUUACGUUUUUUAUUUUAAGUAGUUUUCUCUGCAAAUGUUAAUAUCUGCACUGAAUUGGGAAUUACGAUUAAUUACUUGGCAUAUCAUGCAAUUAAUUUGAUUUAACUGAUGCUUUUAUCCAAAGCGACUAGAAAAUGAGGAACAUCUGGAUUAAAUGAUUACACCUGAUUGACAGCUAUUGAAGCCACACGUGACCAUAUGAGAUUAUUUUGUGAAUAAAUCGUGUGGCAGAUGCUGCUGACAAAGAGCAGUGCAAUGAAAAAUCAGUGACGAGAAAGUAAAAUAAUAUAAGUAAAUCAAUCUAAAGAAACAGAGCUUCUAAACUAAGUGGGGGGAGAUUUUACCUUGAUUUUAGUUCUUCACAAAUGCAGUAGACAGAUAUUUUAGCCUAAUAGCUGCUUUAUGCUCUUGUUUGAGCAGCUAUCUAUAUGCUUGUUGUUAUUAUUAUUCACAAUGUGGUGCUGAUGUUGGAUAAAUAUGCACUAGUUAACAGUAGAUGAUGGUGAAGGGUUAUGUAAUGCAACGACAGGUUUGUUUGGUGAUGGAUAAAUAUAGACAACUGAUGGAUCAUUAAUUUUUUGUAAUUUCUUCAGAUGUGUGUGUAGAGCAGAGAUCUGGUUACAGUUCUUAUGAGAGAUUUUGGGGAGUUAGUCAUGUUUAGAGAUUGCAUUUGACAUGGAAUGAGUUGUCCUCCAUCUAGUUUCUUACCUUUUAGGAUGCAGGAGUUCAAUUACAUAUUUCUGGGGAAACAUGAGUUAUUCAGGGGAAAAAAAUGAAUGCUUUUCAGUUUGUUAUUCUCAGAAACUGACAAAAAAUAAACUGUAUUGCAUCAACAACAAUGGUGGAGUGAUUAUUUU